GAUCCUGGCUCAGAUUGAACGCUGGCGGCGGGCUUAACACAUGCAAGUCGAACGGUAGCAGGAGGAAGCUUGCUUUCUUGCUGACGAGUGGCGGACGGGUGAGUAAUGCUUGGGAAUCUGGCUUAUGGAGGGGGAUAACGACGGGAAACUGUCGCUAAUACCGCGUAGUAUCGGAAGAUGAAAGUGCGGGACUGUAAGGCCGCAUGCCAUGAGAUGAGCCUAAGUGGGAUUAGGUAG
rnacentral:rRNA from 1 species